GGAUUGGGUUUAGGGUUAGAUUUUAAGUUUAGGUUAAGGUUAGGGUUAGGUGUAGGGUUAGAUUUUAUGGUUGAUUAAGGGUUAAGGUUAGGGUUAGGUGUAGGGUUAGAUUUUAUGGUUGAUUAAGGCUUAAAGUUAGGGUUAGGUGUAGGGUUUGAUUUUAGGGUUGAUUAAGGGUUAAGGUUAGGGUUAGGUGUAGGGUUUGAUUUUAAGUUUAGGUUAAGGUUAGGGUUAGGUGUAGGGUUAGAUUUUAGGGUUGAUUAAGGGUUAAGGUUAG